rnacentral:rRNA from 1 species
AGUGAACGCUGGCGGUAGGCCUAACACAUGCAAGUCGAACGGCAGCACAGUAAGAGCUUGCUCUUACGGGUGGCGAGUGGCGGACGGGUGAGGAAUACAUCGGAAUCUACUUUUUCGUGGGGGAUAACGUAGGGAAGCUUACGCUAAUACCGCAUACGACCUACGGGUGAAAGCAGGGGAUCUUCGGGCCUUGCGCGAUUGAAUGAGCCGAUGUCGGAUUAGCUAGUUGGCGGGGUAAAGGCCCACCAAGGCGACGAUCCGUAGCUGGUCUGAGAGGAUGAUCAGCCACACUGGAACUGAGACACGGUCCAGACUCCUACGGGGGGCAGCAGUGGGGAAUAUUGGACAAUGGGCGCAAGCCUGAUCCAGCCAUACCGCGUGGGUGAAGAAGGCCUUCGGGUUGUAAAGCCCUUUUGUUGGGAAAGAAAAGCAGCAGGUUAAUACCCCGCUGUUCUGACGGUACCCAAAGAAUAAGCACCGGCUAACUUCGUG